rnacentral:rRNA from 1 species
GGGUCAGUAGGAUGGUCGUGCCACCGGUACGUACUGGUCUCACUGAUUCCUCCUUCCUGAAGAACCGUAAUGCCAUUAUUUUGGUGUUGCGGGGAAACAGGGCUGUUACUUUGAAAAAAUUAGAGUGUUUAAAGCAAGCUAACGCUUGAAUACAUUAGCAUGUAAUAAUGAAAUAGGACGAUCGAUCCUAUUUUGUUGGUUUCUAGGAUUGACGUA